GACAUCACUUCUGUUGCCUUUUGAGUUGUGGUUGAAAUCUGACUUUAAUAACAGAAAAGACACUGGAUCAAAACAUCUCUCUCCUAUCCCACCCCCUCUGUACCUGAUUACAGGUAUCUGUACCUGGGACUUCACAGCUACAGAUGAUGAUCAGCUCAUCAAUUAAUGAAACAGAACGUGAAGACGUCUGGAUCGAUCCUCGUCUCCUGGUCGAUCAGGAAGUUUCUCUCCGGUGAAGCAGAGACGCUCCUGAUGGCGUUCAGACUCAUGAACGUGUGAGAAUAACUGCUGAUGUAUAAAUAAAUAAAAGGUUCCUCCAGCUGAUCUGCGCCUGAUGAUGAGAUUAUCAGUCUGAAGAUCACUGACUUCAAACAUCUGAAGCUGAAAUAAAAUGCUCAACCAAUCAAA